AGAGACAGGGUCUCACACUCUUGCCCAGGCUGGAGUGCCGUGGUAUGAUCCUAGUUCAUUGCAGACUUGGACUCCUGGACUCAAGUGAUCCUCUUGCUUGAGCCUCAUGAAUAGCUAGGAUUGCACUUGUGUGCCACAAUAUUUGGCUAAUUUAAAAAAUUUUUUGUAGAGACAGGAUCUUGCUACAUUGCCCAGGUUUGGUUAUGAACUCCUCGCCUCAAGCACUCCUCUUGCCUCAGCCUUCCAAAGUGCUGGUAUUAUAGUUGUGAGCCACUGUGCUCCACCAAGUCACUUUUAAUAUUGAGGUUCUGAUCCCUGUGUGUGGAGAGAUUGAGAAUAGAAUCAGGCACUAUCACCAUAAGUUGAGGGAGUGGCUUUUGUGGAGGUGGUCUCUUGAGUUUUUUUCUGCCUCAGUGGGGAUGGCAGGAUGACAAGUUGGCCUAAUUAGUCACGUUGGCCUAAUUUGUAUUGGCCCCUGAGUCAUUUGGGGAAAGAAAGACCUGUAGCCUGGAUGUCAGGCAUGUUUGUGGGUCCAGAGCUCACCUUGAAGAAGGGGAUAGUUGGUGUGAGAUCUGUAUGUUUAUGGACAGAAAACGUUGGGUUCCUUGUUCCCAGGAAUGUUCCAGAACUUCCAGCGACGGUCAGAAGGAGCUGUUUUCAGAUUCAGCUCAGAAUCCAUAUUCUCCAAGAUCUGGAACAUGGAGAUUUCACAGCCCCCAUAUUCUGGAUAAUUCACUCAAAGCUUGAGAGUUAGAGAUGAGGGAAUCAACAUAGGCAUCAAAGAGAAGACAGAUGCCAACACUAGCAUGGAGGAAAGAUUGCAGCUGAUCUGGAGGUAUGAUUGGGAGCGGUUGAGAAGACUUUCAGGGGUGUCCCUGAUGAGGGAGGGCACAAGCAAAGGCCCAGGGGAAAGGAACUGCCCAGUAGAUCCCAGAAAAGGGCUACCAUUGGAUAUAACAGAGUGUAAAAUAACAGGGUAGACAGUAUACUGCAUCAACGGGUGGAAGACAACUGCCUUUUGGGUUGAGCAUAGUCUGAAAGCAAUGGAACCACUGAAUCCCACAAAAGCUGGUAAUCUGCACAGCCCAAAGGUCAGAGCCAUCAGGACUUUGCCUGGAAUAUUCUGGCAUUAUUGGCAAACAACUCCCUUCCCCUAACAGGUUGGCUGCUGUACACUGAGCCCCAGUGGGAGAUCAGAAGGCAGGUUCAGCAGAAAUACAUAGGACUCUACUCAUGUAUUGGGAACCAUUUUAUUUUUCCCUUUUUAGAGACAAGGUCUCAUUCUGUUGCUCAGGCUGGAGUACAGUGGUACAAACGUAGCUAGCUCACGGCAGUCUUUAAGUCCCGGGAUCCAGUGAUCCUCCUGCCUCAGUCUCCCAAAUAGCUGGGAACAGACAUGCUACCAUCAUGCCCAGCACCACUUUAUGAGAUCUAAUCUUGGCCACUCACACAGAGGAUUGAGCUCUGAUGACAUGUCUACCCUAACUUUAUUUGCUUAGAAGCCCCCAUGUGACUCAGCUGGCCUUAUAAUUCUGAUCCCACACGAGUCUUCCAUAUUGGAGACAUACUCAGGAAGGCAAGCCUGAGCAACGUAGGGAUCCCCCAUACCCCUCACUGUGCUGGGGAGUACUUGAGAAGCCCUGCUGUAAUCUCUGCUGACUGCAAAAUUGUUGUGGCUUCUGCUCAUGAUGUAGUUAUCAUUGUCCAUCCCCUCAGGGGCUUCCGAGAGAGGUGGCAGCUGCAGUGGCCUCUGAUCUGUCAUAUAGUAUGGAUGAACACCACAGGCCAAAGAGCCUCAUGUCAGAGGAUUUCUGGUCUUUUCUCCCCUAGGCCUCAGGAGGACCCAGGGAAAUAUACAAAGCCAACUUAUAGUUUUUGGUGAACUGAGUUUUAUUGAAAUGUUUUUGGAAAUGAUUUUCAACAUUUACGAAAUCAGAUGCCACAUAAAAAUCCAAAUAUUUGGCUCUUCUUGCAAAACCACUAAGACUCCACCAUAUUGUUUCCCCACCCCUUAAGAGGGGCAGACCUGCUUCAUGGCCACCAUAAGUGGAAUUAUGAAGGCCCUGGCCAUGUGACUCUCUAGACACCCUGGCUACUCACAUAAGCCACUCUAGACCAUGAUUUCUGUCUUCUCUGUCUUGAGGUUCCUACCUGUGCAGUGAUGGCCAUGAGAUGAACAGCCCAGAGAGUCCACAGGAAUCCGCAAAACAUUUAUCUGGAUUUCAGUUAUGAGUGACAGAAGCAUUCUUCUUCAGAUGGGCCUCCUGACCCUCUACUCCAUGCCAGCAACCUGAAAGUAGAGAAACGCCAGGCAACUAGGUAUUCCACUUGGUGGUAAUAGAUGCCUUCAUUAGAAAUGUGUUACCCAGGAAUUCAUACCCAAGAACAGGUCCCAGGAAUUGUUGACAGGCCGACAGGACCAUCAUCAGGGUGAAGAAGGGCCCAUUACUAUGCAGGAUAGGGACCAGCCAAGCAACAGAAUAAGGGAAACCUCACUAGAGUAUGGACACAGAAAUGGGUCAAAGAACUUAAAUAGACAUUUCUCCAAAAGAAGAUAUAUACACAAACGAUCAACAAGCAUUUGAAAAUAAGUUCAGCAUCCUUAAUCAUUAGGAGUAUGCAAACCAAAACCACAGUGAGAUACAACUUCACACCCACUAGCAUAGCUAUAAUAAAUAAACAGCAAGAAAUGAAGAUGAAGUAGAAAAACUGGAGCACUUAUACACUGCAGAUAGGGAUGUAAAAUGGGGCAGCCAAUUUGGAAAACAGUUUGGCAAGUGUGCUCCUACAGAGCUACACAAGAGAACUAAAAGCAUAUCUACACAAAAAUGUGUACAAGACCGUUCAUGGCAAUAUGUUUUUAAAAACUGAGAUGGGGUCUUGCUACGUUGCCCAGAUUGGUCUCAAACUUCUGAGCUCAAGUUAUCCUCCUUCCUCAGCCUCCUGAGUAGCUGGACUAUAGGCACCUCACCCAGCUUCUAUAGCAGCAUUUUUUCUGACACCUAAAAAAAUGGAAACAAGCCACAUUCUCAUUAACUGAUAAAUGGAUAAACAAACUGUAGUCUAUCUAUACACUGGAAUUUGGCUGUAAAAAAGAAUGAAAUAUUGAUACAUCCUACGAAAUCGAUGAACUUCAAAAACAUGUUAAGAGAAAGCCAGUCACAGAAAAACACAUGGUAAGAGUCAAUUUUUUUUUUUUUUU